rnacentral:lncRNA from 1 species
UUGUUUUCUUGCAAGGUCAUAAUGGAUUGGGAUAUUCAUGUGCUUCGGGUUAAGGAACAGUAAAUCUCAGGAGAAGUACCCUAAUUUAUAUCCAGAAGGGAACAAUGACUUAGGAAAAUCGGCUGUUUUGGUUGAUGAUGUGAUUCGAAAUGAAGUGGCCUAAGAUGAUGUAAUUUUGUGAAUGAAACAACAUUCUCUUUGAGCCCCACGAGGGGAAAGGCAAUUUUCCUAGUUAUAAACAAUUUUACUGAAUAUAGAAUAUCAGUUUCCUGUGAUCUACAACUUUACUGAAUCAAGGACUAGAAUAAGCCCCCAAUAGGUUGGAAGUUUCUAAUUCUGGUAGGAUACAUCAUGUAUUGCAUUUGGUAACUAGAUGACUUUUGCAAGAUGUUCAUAAAACUGAAGAAUUCCUUGUGGUCCGAUCCCAGUUUAUGUUAUUGUGAGAUAUUUGGUUUGCUGAUUAUAUUAAGAAGGAAAUCAGCAACUGCACUGAUGCAUUAUCGAGUUUCCUAAAUAGUCAAUUUUCUCCAUGAACAUAUUCGAAGGCUUUCUAUCUUAGGUGGAAGGGAGUUUCUGACUUCGUGAUUGCUGCUUGUAUAUAGCAUUAUGGAAUAGC